rnacentral:rRNA from 1 species
GACGAACGCUGGCGGCGUGCCUAAUACAUGCAAGUCGAACGCAUUUUCUUUCAACGUUGCUUGCUACACCGGAAGGAAGUGGAGGGCGGACGGGGGGGUAACACGUUGGUAACCUGCCCAUCAGCGGGGGAUAACACUUGGAAAACGGUGCUUAUACCGCAUAAAUCCAUUUACCCGAUGGUAGGUGGGUGAAAGGCGCUUUUGCGGCAAUGGUGGAUGGACCCGCGGUGCAUUAGCUAGUUGGUGGGGUAACGGCCUACCAAGGCUGCGAUGCAUAGCCGACCUGAGAGGGUGAUCGGCCACACUGGGACUGAGACACGGCCCAGACUCCUACGGGAGGCAGCAGUAGGGAAUCUUCGGCAAUGGACGCAAGUCUGACCGAGCAACGCCGCGUGAGUGAAGAAGGUUUUCGGAUUGUAAAACUCUGUUGUUAGAGAAGAACAAGGAUGAGAGUGGAAAGUUCAUCCCUUGACGGUAUCUAACCAGAAAGCCACGGCUAACUACGUG